rnacentral:lncRNA from 1 species
AGAAUGCCAAUACAUGGACUUAUAUCCGACUCCCCACAAUAACAAACACUAACCAGCGAACACCAAAGAAAAUUUUCUUCGUCCAUAAAAUUACCCAAAAAUAUUUUUCACUUUUCUUAACAUUUUAUUUAAUUUUAUAUAAUUUUUAUUUUCGUAUUUUUUUAAUAUUAAUAUUUUAUUUUAAUUAUUUAUUCUAAAUAGUCCAUUUUAACACACUUUUUU